CCUACGGGGGGCAGCAGUGAGGAAUAUUGGUCAAUGGACGAGAGUCUGACCCAGCCAAGUCGCGUGAAGGAUGACUGCCCUAUGGGUUGUAAACUUCUUUUAUAAAGGAAUAAAACGAGGCACGUGUGCCUUUUUGCAUGUCCUUUAUGAAUAAGGCUCGGCUAACUCCGUGCCAGCAGCCGCGGUAAUACGGAGGAUCCGAGCGUUAUCCGGAUUUAUUGGGUUGAAAGGGAGCGUAGGCGGACUGUUACGUCAGCGGUAAAAGCCCGGGGCUCAACCCCGGCGAGCCUUUGAAACUGGGUGUCUUGAGAUGUCGAGAGGUAUGCGGAAUGCGCAGUGUAGCGGUGAAAUGCUUAGAUAUUGCGCAGAACUCCGAUGGCGAAGGCAGCAUACCGGCGGCGAUCUGACGCUGAGGCACGAAAGCGUGGGUAUCGAACAGGAUUAGAUACCCCUGUAGUC
rnacentral:rRNA from 1 species